rnacentral:rRNA from 1 species
CGCGAAAACUUUACAAUGCUGGCAACAGCGAUAAGGGGACCUCGAGUGCCAGGAUACAAUCUUGGCUGUCGUGAUGCCUAAAAAGCAUUGCAUAGCAAGGGCCGGGCAAGACCGGUGCCAGCCGCCGCGGUAACACCGGCGGCUCGAGUGGUAACCGCUAUUAUUGGGUCUAAAGGGUCUGUAGCCGGCCGGAUAAGUCUUUUGGGAAAUCCAGCUGCUCAACAGUUGGGCUUUCAGAAGAUACUGUUCGGCUCGAGGCCGGGAGAGGUGAGAGGUACUUCAGGGGUAGGGGUGAAAUCUUGUAAUCCUUGAAGGACCACCAGUGGCGAAGGCGUCUCACCAGAACGGUCCUGACGGCAAGGGACGAAAGCUAGGGGCACGAACCG